AACGAACGCUGGCGGCAGGCCUAACACAUGCAAGUCGAGCGCGCCCUUCGGGGUGAGCGGCGGACGGGUGAGUAACGCGUGGGAACGUGCCCUUUUCUACGGAAUAGCCUUGGGAAACUGAGAGUAAUACCGUAUACGCCCUUAGGGCGAAAGAUUUAUCGGAAAAGGAUGGGCCCGCGUUGGAUUAGGUAGUUGGUGGGGUAAUGGCCUACCAAGCCGACGAUCCAUAGCUGGUUUGAGAGGAUGAUCAGCCACACUGGGACUGAGACACGGCCCAGACUCCUACGGGAGGCAGCAGUGGGGAAUCUUAGACAAUGGGGGCAACCCUGAUCGAGCCAUGCCGCGUGAGUGAUGAAGGCCUUAGGGUUGUAAAGCUCUUUCAGCUGGGAAGAUAAUGACGGUACCAGCAGAAGAAGCCCCGGCUAACUCCGUG
rnacentral:rRNA from 1 species